rnacentral:rRNA from 1 species
CGCAUCUGUGCAUGCAGCAUAUCAAUAAGCGGAGGAAAAGAAACUAACAAGGAUUCCCCUAGUAACGGCGAGUGAAGCGGGAAGAGCUCAAAUUUGAAAUCUUCAAGGUUUUACCUUGACGAAUUGUAGUUUAAAGAAGUGUUUUCUGUUGGAGUUUUGGUAAAAGUUCUUUGGAAUAGGACAUCAUAGAGGGUGAGAAUCCCGUAUUUGACCAUUAUUUUCAGCUGUGUGAUACACUUUCAAAGAGUCGGAUUGUUUGGGAAUGCAGUCCAAAAUGGGUGGUAAAUUUCAUCUAAAGCUAAAUAUUGGCGAGAGACCGAUAGCGAACAAGUACCGUGAGGGAAAGAUGAAAAGAACUUUGAAAAGAGAGUUAAACAGUACGUGAAAUUGUCAAAAGGGAAGCGUUUGACACCAGUGUUGUUUUCUCGAAAAUCAAUUAAAAAGAGUUUGAUUUUGUUGUGUAUUGACCUUAACAGCUUGCAUUUCAAUUUUCUUGCUUUUUUUAAUGCACUUUUCGUUUAACAAGUCAACAUCAGUUUCUUUUGUUGUAAAAAGGUCAUUGGAAGGUGGCUUUCUUUUCGGAGAAAGUGUUUAUAGCCUUUGACUCCUGCAAUCGGAGAGGCUGAGGUCUGCAGCGUAGAUCCUUCGGGGUUAGAUACAUUUGUGCUAAGUUAUAGCUUUUUAUAGACAACUUGUUGACUAUGAUUAGUCUUGUAGCUUACUCGCUUAUGCUAUUUUACCUACGCUUAGGAUGUUGAUGUGAUACUGCGAGCA